CAGCCACCUGAAAAUGUCCACCAGGAAACUGGUGGUGAAGGUGCUGAAGGACAGUGGAGUGUUUGAGUACACCUGGUCUGAGCUGGAGCUGUGGCUGAAACACCUGGACAGACUACAGACAGAGCAGCAGGACACGGUUAUACACUUCCUGGAGAGGGUGCUCAUGUGUCUGGUGUGUAACCCCUACACCUACACAGACAAGGUGGCCAGUCUUGUCCAGGAGGCAGCCUAC